rnacentral:rRNA from 1 species
AGAACGAACGCUGGCGGCAUGCCUAACACAUGCAAGUCGAACGAACCCUUCGGGGUUAGUGGCGCACGGGUGCGUAACGCGUGGGAACCUACCAUCAGGUUCGGAAUAACAGUUAGAAAUGACUGCUAAUACCGGAUAAUGUCUUCGGACCAAAGAUUUAUCGCCUUUUGAUGGGCCCGCGUUGGAUUAGCUAGUUGGUAAGGUAAAAGCUUACCAAGGCGACGAUCCAUAGCUGGUCUGAGAGGAUGAUCAGCCACACUGGGACUGAGACACGGCCCAGACUCCUACGGGAGCAGCAGUGGGGAAUA